UCUCCGUAGGUGAACCUGCGGAGGGAUCAUUACAGAGUUCAUGCCCUACCGGGUAGAUCUCCCACCCUAUGUUAUUAUUACUUUGUUGCUUUGGCGGGCCGUUAGGCUCCGGCCCGACUACCGGCCCCGGCUGGUAAGCGCCCGCCAGAGGACCCAAAACCCUGAAUAUUAGUGUCGUCUGAGUACUAUAUAAUGGUUAAAACUUUCAACAACGGAUCUCUUGGCUCUG
rnacentral:misc_RNA from 1 species